AGUGAACGCUGGCGGCGUGCUUAACACAUGCAAGUCGAACGGUCUUUUCUAUCGAAGCUUGCUUCCACUGAGAAGAUAGUGGCGAACGGGUGAGUAACACGUGGGUAACCUGCCCAUAAGAGGGGGAUAACAUCCGGAAACGGGUGCUAAUACCGCAUAGGUUUCUUGGUCGCAUGAUCGAGAAAGGAAAGACGGCCUUUGUGCUGUCGCUUAUGGAUGGACCCGCGGCGUAUUAGUUAGUUGGUGAGGUAACGGCUCACCAAGACGAUGAUACGUAGCCGACCUGAGAGGGUGAUCGGCCACAUUGGGACUGAGACACGGCCCAAACUCCUACGGGAGGCAGCAGUAGGGAAUCUUCCGCAAUGGACGAAAGUCUGACGGAGCAACGCCGCGUGAGUGAAGAAGGUUUUCGGAUCGUAAAACUCUGUUGUCAGAGAAGAACAAGUCGGAGAGUAACUGCUCCGGCCUUGACGGUAUCUGACCAGAAAGCCACGGCUAACUACGUGCCAGCAGCCGCGGUAACAC
rnacentral:rRNA from 1 species